UGGGGAAUAUUGGACAAUGGGGGCAACCCUGAUCCAGCAAUGCCGCGUGUGUGAAGAAGGUCUUCGGAUUGUAAAGCACUUUCGACGGGGACGAUGAUGACGGUACCCGUAGAAGAAGCCCCGGCUAACUUCGUGCCAGCAGCCGCGGUAAUACGAAGGGGGCUAGCGUUGCUCGGAAUGACUGGGCGUAAAGGGCGUGUAGGCGGUUUACACAGUCAGAUGUGAAAUCCCCGGGCUUAACCUGGGAGCUGCAUUUGAUACGUGUAAACUAGAGUGUGAGAGAGGGUUGUGGAAUU
rnacentral:rRNA from 1 species